rnacentral:rRNA from 1 species
GCGUGGGAGAAGGCUUGGUCGUAAUCUUGUGAGAGACGUACAGAAUAGGGUCGGUAACUCUGCCACGCCCGUACAGACCCAGCUUACCGGAGUGACUGGGCGUAGCGUAGGGUAAAGCGAGUGAAAUCUGUGCUACCAUGGUAUACUCUGCUGAGAGUGAGGUCUGGAAUUCGUGUAGAGUAAAUCCGUAAUAUGAAGAACACCAUGCUAGGUCUGCCGUGGGGAGCGAACCGGAUUAGGUACCCGGGUAGUCCACGCCGUAACUAUGUACUAGUGUUUACAAUAACGCGUUAAGACGCCUGUGGUCGGUCGCAAGACAAAAAGGAUGACGGGCGCAAGCGGUGGAUGUCUUAAUUCAUAAGAACUCGUUGACGGGCGGUGAUGC